CAAUCUCCUCCUCCUUUCCUGUGCUGUUUCACGGACAGGCUUGCUCACAGCUGGAGGCGGGGGACAAGCUUCACCAGCAGCAUGAGCACGAAUGAGGAGAAGGGAAGUUUCCUGCUCUUCACAUUACAAGAAAAGCCUCUUCGUAUAAACUCUGCUAACAGAUGGCUUGUAAAGUACUGUGUCACAUGUUCUUAGUAACAGAGUGGGCUCUUCCACACCCAUUAUUUAAAGCUGCUGGGGCAGUCCUUUGACACCAGCUUAGUUGUAAAAUUCCUACAGUUUCACUCCCUGGCUAGUGUAGAGCUAUAUUUAGUUUGCCUGGUGCUGGGGAAAAGUUGAACUGCCUCUGUAUUUCCAUUUGGCUGCU
rnacentral:lncRNA from 1 species